GUUGGCAACACAAGAUGAAGGACUGUUUUGUUCCCUAGUACCCAGGACAGAAUCUGGCACAUAGGAGAUAUCCUGUAAAAUAUCGGUAGAGUGCACGAGAGAGUGAAUUUGUGGAGCUGGGUGAACGGAUGUGGAGGGGCCGAUUUACAGCGAAGGUGAGAUCCAGCCUGUUAGAUCUGGCAUGCUCAAGAGACCUCAGACAAGGAGAAACAGAUGUGAAGAGGGCAGGCAAAUAUACUGAUGCAUUACUCGGGAGGAACAGAAACUUCAGAGAAACCCUAUUGGAAAUUUAACACCACCCACUUUGUAAGCAGUGGAGCCAGGAUUCAAAUCCCAGUCCAGUCAAGGUCCGAGGUGAGCUUCAUCAGGUCCCUCAGCGAAGAGAUGAAUCUACUUGUGGCAGAAAACACCCAUGAGCUUUACGGGAAGGGAUGGAACCUGCAACCCUGGAGCAUCAGGACGACAACCCAACUACCUAAGCACGCGGCCAGGGCUGGACAAGCUUCUUAACUAAUCUCCAAUUUGACUUCUGUGUUGUUCCCAGUUUUAUUCUAUCGAAAACAAUGCUGCAGUGGACAUUCUGCUACAGAGACCCCCUUUCACGUUUCUAAUUAUGUUCUUAGGAUGAAUUUCAAGGAGAGAAAUCAAGAAACAUGCACAUUUGAUGGCUUUUCAUCAGAGUGUCAAAUUGCCAUGCACAAGGGUGAUCAAUUUAUUCUCCAAGCUCACUCACAAUUAAGAGUGUCCACUUCCCUUCUCCAUACAAACCUAUGUGGGGGUAGUUAAAAAACAAUCAAUGGGCCCAGCCGGCAUGGCUCAGUGGUUGAGCGUCGACCUGUGGACCAGGAGGUCAUGGUUCGAUUCCCUGUCAGGACACAUGCCCGGAUUAUGAGCUCGCUCCCCAAUGUGGGGCGUGCAGGAGGCAGCCGAUCAAUGAUUCUCUCUCAUUAUUGGUGUUUCUGUCUCCCUCACCCUCUCCCUUCCUCUUUGGAAUAAAUAAAAAUGUAUUCAAACAAACAAACAAACAAACAAACACAAAACAGCCCUAGCUGGUUUGGCUCAGUGGAUAGAGCAUCUGCCUGUGGACUGAAGCAUCCCAGAUUCGAUUCCAGUCAAGGGCACAUGCCCCGGUUGCAGGCUCCAUCCCCAGUGGGGGGCGUGCAGGAGGCAGCCGAUCAAUGAUUCUGUCUCAUCAUUGAUGUUUCUAUCUCUCCCUCUCCCUUUCUUUCUGAAAUCAAUAAAAAUAUAUUAAAC